UAGGGAAUCUUCGGCAAUGGGGGGAACCCUGACCGAGCAACGCCGCGUGAGUGAAGAAGGUUUUCGGAUCGUAAAGCUCUGUUGUUAAGGAAGAACGAGUGUGAGAAUGGAAAGUUCAUGCUGUGACGGUACUUAACCAGAAAGGGACGGCUAACUACGUGCCAGCAGCCGCGGUAAUACGUAGGUCCCGAGCGUUGUCCGGAUUUAUUGGGCGUAAAGCGAGCGCAGGCGGUUAGAAAAGUCUGAAGUGAAAGGCAGUGGCUCAACCAUUGUAGGCUUUGGAAACUGUUUAACUUGAGUGCAGAAGGGGAGAGUGGAAUUCCAUGUGUAGCGGUGAAAUGCGUAGAUAUAUGGAGGAACACCGGUGGCGAGAGCGGCUCUCUGGUCUGUAACUGACGCUGAGGCUCGAAAGCGUGGGGAGCGAACAGG
rnacentral:rRNA from 1 species